UACGUAGGGCGCAAGCGUUGUCCGGAAUUAUUGGGCGUAAAGAGCUCGUAGGCGGCUUGUCACGUCGGGUGUGAAAGACCGGGGCUUAACCCCGGUUCUGCAUUCGAUACGGGCUGGCUAGAGUGUGGUAGGGGAGAUCGGAAUUCCUGGUGUAGCGGUGAAAUGCGCAGAUAUCGGGUGGAACACCGGUGGCGAAGGCGGUGGUCUGGGCCGGAACUGACGCUGAGGAGCGAAAGGCGUGGGGAGCGAACAGG
rnacentral:rRNA from 1 species